GAGCGGAUGGAUUCCUGGAUACAUGAACCUGAGCAAGGCAAGAAUACAUGCAGUUGAGGCUAACCUUGGGUAAGUGGGGAAGGGAAGAUAUCCGGCGGUAGACGGAAGGAUUCCUGGAUACAUGAUCCUGCGGACGGCAAGAAUACCGCUGACCUUGGGGAAGUGGGGAAGGGAGUUCACCUGAGGUGACAUAAGUGGAUUCCUGGAGACACUGAUCCGGGGAAGGCACCGCCGACCUUAGGGAAAUGGGGAAGGGAAGACAUCCGGAGCGAGCGGAUGGAUUCCUGGAUACAUGAACUUGAGGAAGGCAAGAAUACAUGCAGUUGAGGCUGACCUUGGGUAAGUGGGGAAGGGAAGAUAUCCGGCGGUAGACGGAAGGAUUCCUGGAUACAUGAACCUGGGGACAGCAAGAAAA